rnacentral:rRNA from 1 species
GAUGAACGCUGGCGGCGUGCCUAAUACAUGCAAGUCGAGCGAACAGACGAGGAGCUUGCUCCUCUGACGUUAGCGGCGGACGGGUGAGUAACACGUGGAUAACCUACCUAUAAGACUGGGAUAACUUCGGGAAACCGGAGCUAAUACCGGAUAGUAUAUUGAACCGCAUGGUUCAAUAGUGAAAGACGGUUUUGCUGUCACUUAUAGAUGGAUCCGCGCCGCAUUAGCUAGUUGGUAAGGUAACGGCUUACCAAGGCAACGAUGCGUAGCCGACCUGAGAGGGUGAUCGGCCACACUGGAACUGAGACACGGUCGCGACUCCUACGGGAGGAAGCAGUAGGGAAUCUUCCGCAAGGGGCGAAAGCCUGACGGAGCAACGCCGCGUGAGUGAUGAAGGUCUUCGGAUCGUAAAACUCUGUUAUUAGGGAAGAACAAAUGUGUAAGUACCUAUGCACGUCUUGACGGUACCUAAUCAGAAAGCCACGGCUAACUACGUG